rnacentral:rRNA from 1 species
UACGUAGGGGGCGAGCGUUGCCCGAGGUUACUGGGCGUAAAGCGCACGUGGGCGGCUCCGUAAGUCUGGUGUGAAAUCUCACGGCUCAACCGAGAGGCUGCACCAGAUACUGCGGGGCUCGAGGACGGGAGAGGAGAUUGGAAUUCCCGGUGUAGCGGUGAAAUGCAUUGAUAUCGGGGGGAACACCAGUGGCGAAGGCGGAUCUCUGGCCCGUUGCUGACGCUGAGGUGCGAAAGCUGGGGGAGCGAAUGGG